rnacentral:rRNA from 1 species
UACGAAGGGGGCUAGCGUUGCUCGGAAUCACUGGGCGUAAAGCGCACGUAGGCGGAUUGUUAAGUCAGGGGUGAAAUCCUGGAGCUCAACUCCAGAACUGCCUUUGAUACUGGCGAUCUCGAGUCCGGGAGAGGUGAGUGGAACUGCGAGUGUAGAGGUGAAAUUCGUAGAUAUUCGCAAGAACACCAGUGGCGAAGGCGGCUCACUGGCCAGGUACUGACGCUGAGGUGCGAAAGCGUGGGGAGCAAACGGG